UGGGGAAUAUUGGGCAAUGGAGGAAACUCUGACCCAGCGACGCCGCGUGCGGGAUGAAGGCCUUCGGGUUGUAAACCGCUUUCAGUAGGGAAGAAGCGAAAGUGAUGGUACCUACAAAAGAAGCACCGGCUAACUAUGUGCCAGCAGCCGCGGUAAUACAUAGGGUGCAAGCGUUGUCCGGAAUUAUUGGGCGUAAAGAGCUCGUAGGUCGUUUGUUACGUCGGAUGUGAAAACCUGAGGCCCAACCUCAGGCCUGCAUUCGAUACGGGCAAACUAGAGUUUGGUAGGGGAGACUGGAAUUCCUGGUGUAGCGGUGGAAUGCGCAGAUAUCAGGAGGAACACCAAUGGCGAAGGCAGGUCUCUGGGCCAAUACUGACACUGAGGAGCGAAAGUCUGGGGAGCAAACAGGAUUAGAUACCCUGGUAGUCCAGACCGUAAACGGUGGGCACUAGUUGUGGGAACCUUCCACGGUUUCUGCGACGCAGCUAACGCAUUAAGUGCCCCGCCUGGGGAGUACGAUCGCAAGAUUA
rnacentral:rRNA from 1 species